GUAGCUCAAUUGGUAGAGCAUCGGUCUCCAAAACCGAGGGUUGUGAGUUCGAGUCUCGCC
rnacentral:tRNA from 1 species